UACGAAGGGGGCUAGCGUUGCUCGGAAUCACUGGGCGUAAAGGGUGCGUAGGCGGGUCCUUAAGUCAGGGGGGAAAUCCUGGAGCUCAACUCCAGAACUGCCUUUGAUACUGAGGAUCUUGAGUUCGGGAGAGGUGAGUAGAACUGCGAGUGUAGAGGUGAAAUUCGUAGAUAUUCGCAAGAACACCAGUGGCGAAGGCGGCUCACUGGCCCGAUACUGACGCUGAGGCACGAAAGCGUGGGGAGCAAACAGG
rnacentral:rRNA from 1 species